GUAAGGGCGCAUGGUGGAUGCCUCGGCAUGGGCAGGCGAUGAAGGGCGUGGCAAGCUGCGAUAAGCCGCGGGGAGCCGCAAGCAGGCUGUGAUCCGCGGAUUCCCGAAUGGGGCAACCCGGCCGGUCGAAGACCGGUCAUCCACGGGCUGAAUCCAUAGGCCCGUGGAGGCGAACCCGGGGAACUGAAACAUCUCAGUACCCGGAGGAAAAGAAAGCAACCGCGAUUCCCUGAGUAGUGGCGAGCGAAAGGGGAACAGCCCAAACCGGCGUCGUUUCGGCGGCGCCGGGGUUGUAGGGCCCGCCAUAUGGGAUCGGAAGGUGAAGUCGAAGCGUGCUGGAAAGCCGCGCCAUAGAGGGUGAUAGCCCCGUAGGCGUAAGCCGACCGAUCUCGGCGGUGUCCCUGAGUACCACGGGACCGGUGGAAUCCUGUGGGAAGCUGCCAGCACCAUCUGGCAAGGCUAAAUACUCGCCCAUGACCGAUAGCGCACUAGUACCGUGAGGGAAAGGUGAAAAGAACGCCUAGUGGGCGAGUGAAAAGGACCUGAAACCAUGCGCCUACAACCAGUCGGAGCCUCUUGCCGGACUUCGGUCCGGCAAUGGGGUGACGGCGUGCCUUUUGCAGAAUGAGCCUACGAGUUGCUCCUCUCUGGCAAGGCUAAGUGCCUCAGGCACGGAGCCGCAGCGAAAGCGAGUCCGAACAGGGCGACAGAGUCAGAGGGGGCAGACGCGAAACCGGGUGAGCUACCCUUGGCCAGGUUGAAGCGUGGGUAAGACCACGUGGAGGACCGAACCGGUUGGCGUUGAAAAGCCAUCGGAUGAGCUGAGGGUAGGGGUGAAAGGCCAACCAAACCCGGAGAUAGCUCGUACUCCCCGAAAUGCAUAGAGGUGCAGCGUCGCAGCCGAGUGUGCGGGAGGUAGAGCACUGGUUGGGCUAGGGCCCUUCACCGGGUACCAAACCCAGUCAAACUCCGAAUGCCCGCACAUGCUCUGCGGCAGUGAGGGCAUGGGCGAUAAGGUCCAUGUCCGAGAGGGGGACAACCCAGACCGACAGCUAAGGCCCCCAAGUCCAGGCUAAGUUGGGCAAAGGAGGUCGGGCUGCUAAGACAACCAGGAGGUUGGCUUAGAAGCAGCCAUUCCUUUAAAGAGUGCGUAACAGCUCACUGGUCGAGCGGCCCGGCGCCGAAAAUUGUCGGGCAUCAAGCCUGGCGCCGAAGCUUCGGGUUUGCAGCCUCCGGGCUGCAAGCGGUAGGGGAGCAUUCCAGUUGCGCUGAAGUCGCCUCGUGAGGGGCGGUGGAGCGACUGGAAAAGAAAAUGUAGGCAUGAGUAACGAGAAGACGGGUGAAAAACCCGUCCGCCGUAAGCCCAAGGGUUCCUGCUCAACGCUAAUCGGAGCAGGGUUAGCCGGGUCCUAAGCCGAGGCCGAAAGGCGUAGGCGAUGGGAAACGGGUUAAUAUUCCCGUGCCACCCGAAGGCGCUAACCUGAGGCGUGACGCAGGAGCGUAAGGCCCGCGCCCUGACGGAAUAGGGCGUUGAAGCCCGUAGGCUGGGUGGUAGGCAAAUCCGCCACCCGCUAAGGCCGAAAGGCGACAGUAGGGGGACCCGCAAGGGAAACCCAUAGAGGCCCCAAGCACACUGCCAAGAAAAGCGUCGCAGGUUGUCUUCGGGUGCCCGUACCGGAAACCGACACAGGUGGGCGAGGCGAGUAUCCUCAGGCGCUCGAGUGAUCCGUGGCUAAGGAACUCGGCAAAUUGGCCCCGUAACUUCGGGAGAAGGGGCGCCUCCUCCCAUCCAAAAGCGGGAGGGGGCCGCAGUGACCAGGCCCAGGCGACUGUUUAACAAAAACACAGCUCUCUGCGAACUCGUAAGAGGACGUAUAGGGAGUGACACCUGCCCGGUGCCGGAAGGUUAAGGAAGGGGGUUAUCUCGGCCUCGCGCCGGGAGAAGCUCCCGACCGAAGCCCCGGUAAACGGCGGCCGUAACUAUAACGGUAGGACUGGAUCGAAGCCGAUCCAGAAGGGCCGUUGUAAAAUUCGGCUAUAUGCUGGGACAGCUCGGGUAUCCCAGGGUACCGAGAAGGUAAAAAUCCUAUGGGUGGAGCCAACCAGCAGGAAAGACUUUCGGGGACCGAAGCCGAACGGUGGUUCCUUGCAGGGCUCAUCGAAGGGGAAGGCUCCCUCUGCGCAUCGAUCAAAUACCAUCCCACGGCCCGCUAUGGCGUGGUGGUAGAUCCGGAAUUCUUCAUCUACCAGCACGUGACGGGACGUAGCCUGCUGGAACGUGCCCGGCGCAUCUUCGGGACAGGUCGGAUCUAUCCCAAGCCGGGCAAUCCCAAGGUGCUGGUCUUCUGCAUCGAUGCGCGACGUAGCCUGCGUGAACGCGUGCUACCCUUCCUCUUCCGCUAUGUCUAUCCGUUCUCGGCAAAAAAGCAGCAGAUUACCUGCUUUGCCGAGAUCGUAGAGGCCCUGGAACGCAAGGAACACCACACCCCUGAAGGCCUGGCGCGUAUCGUCGAGCAGGCAUACGCGCUGAGUGCAGGCAGUAAGGGGAAGGAGCGAAAACGACCGCUCCAGGAGGUCCUCGAAAGAAUCCUCAGAGGCCAUACGCCGAACAUCGCUCCGCCUUCCUCACCGGAGCGAUGAAGAUAUGGUCCAGCCCUCGUGGCGACACGGGGAGAGGCUGCCUAAGGUAGCAUCCGCUGCCUGCCCACAGGGUGACCUGUGGGGCAAGCCCGGCUGUAUGCGGGAACGCCCUGAGAGCCACUUCUACGUCUCCCGCCAAAGGGCGGGCGUAAAAAUGAAGUGGAUUGGGUAACCCGCAGGAAACCCCGCCGCAAGCGGGGGAUCCUCAGAGGCCAUACGCCGGGUAUCCAGUACC
rnacentral:rRNA from 1 species